GACGAACGCUGGCGGCGUGCUUAACACAUGCAAGUCGAGCGGUAAGGCCCUUUCGGGGGUACACGAGCGGCGAACGGGUGAGUAACACGUGGGUGACCUGCCUCUAGCUCUGGGAUAAGCCUGGGAAGCUGGGUCUAAUACCGGAUAUGACCUCGCGGUGCAUGUUGCGGGGUGGAAAGCCUUGUGCGGCUAGGGAUGGGCCCGCGGCCUAUCAGCUUGUUGGUGGGGUGAUGGCCACCAAGGCGACGACGGGUAGCCGGCCUGAGAGGGCGACCGGCCACACUGGGACUGAGACACGGCCCCAGACUCCUACGGGAGGCAGCAGUGGGGAAUCUUGCGCAAUGGGCG
rnacentral:rRNA from 1 species